rnacentral:rRNA from 1 species
GACCUGGUGGUCAUUGCGGGGUGGCUGCACCCGUUCCCUUUCCGAACACGGCCGUGAAACACCCCUGCGCCAAUGGUACUUCGUCUUAAGACGCGGGAGAGUAGGUCGCUGCCAGGUCU